GAUGGUGUGGGGCGUGCGGUCUCCUCUGCUCCCUCACCACCCAUUACUUCUCGGCUCACUCGCAACGGAAAAAUAAACAAGAAUGCAGGAAGCCCAGCAAGCACACGCGACCAAACACUUGCGCGCGUGCGGACGUGCGCGUUACACGGCGGUUUGCCGCCCUAUUCACCUUGCUCUCCUCCACGGCGUGUGUCGUUUUGUUUCGAAAGGCACUCCGCUCAGCCCAGCUCUUCCCAGUGCCGCGUCUACAACAGACGCCGCGGCUGGCGCCGCUCUGAGACUGAGGAUCGGCACGCAGUGCCCUCUUGUCCAUACGGACAUCUCCGCACACACAUUUUGUGCGUGAGUUUCUGCCUGUGCGUGUGCGAUCGGGGGGGGGGGAGUAGAGCAGAAAAUGGACUCGUUCGAAAUAGCGCUGGACGAACUCGACGCCACCCUCGCUGCGCUCAGGUUGAAAGUCGAGAUGGUGAUCAUCACCGAUACGCUUCCUGAGAAGAAAAAAGUAGAGAUGGAGGCGCGCCCGCUGAUGCGAGAGGCGCGGCAGAAGCUGGCUGCCCUGCGUGCCGAGACCCGUCGUACCCUGGACCUGGAUGCGCGGCAGGCUCAUGAGGGCAUCUGCAAGGAUCGCGACCAGACCAUCCGCAACUACGAUGCGGAGAUGAAGAACCAGAUUUAUCCCCGUCACUCGGUGUCUGCGCGACCGAAGACGUACCAGGAGCAGCGUGAGGAGGAGAUGAUGGGCCGUGGCAGGACAGACGGCACGGGGUUCACAGACUCGAAGCAGGUGCUGAAUGCGGCCAUCAACGUGCAGAAGGACGCGCUUCAGUCCCUCCAGCGUACAGAGCGGUUGCAGAAUGUGACGGAGGAGGCGGGCAAGACAACGUUAGUGGAGCUUCAGAAGCAGACGGAGCGCAUGUACCACAUCGACGAGGAGCUGCAGAACUUGCAGGGCCAGAUCGACCACGCCUCGCGUGAUUUGCGCUGGUUCUACCGCCAGCUGGCACGCGACAAGUGCUUUCUCUCUUUAUUUGGGCUGUGCAUCGUGGCGCUGCUUGUGCUGGUCUUUGUGUCCAUCUGGACAAAACGCAUGAGGUCUAAGCAAUGAAGAGAGAAGCUCUUUCUGUGUGGACUCCUCAGCAUGGCGACAGUGGGGGGGGCAUAUCAGGCGGGAUGACCUCUGCGUGAAGCGGGAUGGGAUGCAAGACCGAAAGGGCGGAACAGGGGGAAAAGGGGGGGGGGCGGGUUGUAUCCGGCAGCACCUGCCGCUGCUGCGGCACUCCGUGUAAACUUGCCGACCACCCCUCUUUUUCUCUUUCUCACAUUGAAUUGCGUGUGCGUGCCCACGCACAUGCACGCCAACUGUUUCCAUAGUGUGUCUUCUCUCUUGCCACGCCGCCCACCUCCACCCUUCGCCUUGCCGCUUUUUCCUCCCCAUAAUUCUUACCUUUUCGAUUUAUGCGUUGGGUCUCCUCGCUGCUGUUGCUACUUGUUUUGUGAUGAGAGAGGUGAGGGAGGGGUAAGACUGCUUUGAGCCCCGCCACCCUCUACUGCUUCUCGCUCUUCUCUCGCUAAUUCUGUGUUGUUGCGUUUCCUUUCAGGCGUGCGAGUCCGCGCUACUCCUCCGUCUUCGUUGGGCGGCUCGAUGUCUGAAGCGCCCCUCCUGUCUACCUCUUGGCGACUUUGUCUCAUCGCAGAGAUUAUGUUUUCCUCUGUGUUUUGUCUCGUUGCUUGCACUCCCACAUGCACAUGCACGCACACGUAUACAUGCACGCAUACAUAUGUAUGCCUUUGCUGAUAUCUGUUCUCCUCAUCUCUGGCCUUGCGGCUUCUCCGAGAUACAACGACGAUGUAGAUGGGGAAGGCAUGCACAUGUGUGUACACAGAUGCUUCUAUGCAUGUGGAUGUAUUUGUGUAGGUGACACGGAUGCCUCGUGUGUGUGUGCAUGCUUUGUAGUCCACGCUUGCGGGCUGAACAAG
rnacentral:misc_RNA from 1 species